AUUGAUGCUUAUCAAUCGUGGCAUGGUUUUAUGCCAGAAGGAUAGGUCUUGGCUGUACUGCCGUCUUAGUUAAGCAACCAUAUGUUUGUGUAGCUGGACCUCUCUGUCUUUUAGAGUCCUGUAAAAGGCUGUGAGAAACCUAUCUAGUAACUGGACCUCUCUGUCUUUUAGAGCUCUGUAAAAGGCUGUGAGAAACCUAUCUAGUAACUGGACCUCUCUGUCUUUUAGAGUCCUGUAAAAGGCUGUGAGAAACCUAUCUAGUAACUGGACCUCUCUGUCUUUUAGAGUCCUGUAAAAGGCUGUGAGAAACCUAUCUAGUAACUGGACCUCUCUGACUUUUAGAGUCCUGUAAAAGGCUGUGAGAAACCUAUCUAGUAAUUGGACCUCUCUGACUUUUAGAGUCCUGUAAAAGGCUAGGCUCUACCUCAGAACUGAUUGUGUCAAACUGUUUAGCCGCAUCAUCCAUCAACACAUCAUCCUCAUCAACACAUCAUCCUCAUCAACACAUCGUCCUCAUCAACACAUCAACCUCAUCAACACAUCAUCCCCAUCAACACAUCGUCCUCAUCAACACGUCGUCCUCAUCAACACAUCGUCCUCAUCAACACAUCAUCCUCAUCAACACAUCACCCUCAUCAACACAUCAUCCACAUCAACACAUCAACCUCAUCAACACAUCAUCCUCAUCAUCCUCAUCAACACAUCAUCCUCAUCAACACAUCAUCCUCAUCAUUCUCAUCAACACAUCAUCCUCAUCAACACAUCAUCCUCAUCAACUCAUCAACACAUCGUCCUCAUCAUCCUCAUCAACACAUCGUCCUCAUCAACUCAUCAUCCUCAUCAACACAUCAUCCUCAUCAUAGCUCAACCCUUCAUCAGCACCUUCAUUGACCUCAUCAUCCUUGACAUUAACACAUCAUCCUCAUCAACUCAUCGUCCUCAUCAACUCAUCAUCCUCAUCAUAGCUCAACCCUUCAUCAGCACCUUCAUUGACCUCAUCAUCCUUGACAUUAACACCAUUGAAUGUAUCAACUGGUUUAGGUGUUUUACUCAGUAUGUCAUCAGUCAUCAUCUUCCUCCUCUUCCUCUUGUUGUAUUGGGUCUUCUGUGUUUGUAUUGGCCUUGGAGGAGUCUGAAAGAAAAAUAUAUGUAAAGUAGUGUUUUAAAAUUAAAAUAUAUAUAAUAAUAAUAUUAAAUAACCAAUAAUAGUGAUAAACGAGAAAAUAUUUUAAAAAAUAACACAUCAAUAUGUCCUAACUCCCUGUUUCUGUUUGUCACUGUUAGGCCUUGUUUUCUUGUUAGUUAAAUGACCUUUGGUUGUUUGAUGCCUGUUUUUCAGAGGAGUCGAUGUUGUGUUUCCUACCCUGUUGUCCUCUUGAUGUGUAGA
rnacentral:lncRNA from 1 species